rnacentral:rRNA from 1 species
GGUUAAGCGACUAAGCGUACACGGUGGAUGCCCUGGCAGUCAGAGGCGAUGAAGGACGUGCUAAUCUGCGAUAAGCGUCGGUAAGGUGAUAUGAACCGUUAUAACCGGCGAUUUCCGAAUGGGGAAACCCAGUGUGUUUCGACACACUAUCAUUAACUGAAUCCAUAGGUUAAUGAGGCGAACCGGGGGAACUGAAACAUCUAAGUACCCCGAGGAAAAGAAAUCAACCGAGAUUCCCCCAGUAGCGGCGAGCGAACGGGGAGCAGCCCAGAGCCUGAAUCAGUGUGUGUGUUAGUGGAAGCGUCUGGAAAGGCGCGCGAUACAGGGUGACAGCCCCGUACACAAAAAUGCACAUGCUGUGAGCUCGAUGAGUAGGGCGGGACACGUGGUAUCCUGUCUGAAUAUGGGGGGACCAUCCUCCAAGGCUAAAUACUCCUGACUGACCGAUAGUGAACCAGUACCGUGAGGGAAAGGCGAAAAGAACCCCGGCGAGGGGAGUGAAAAAGAACCUGAAACCGUGUACGUACAAGCAGUGGGAGCACGCUUAGGCGUGUGACUGCGUACCUUUUGUAUAAUGGGUCAGCGACUUAUAUUCUGUAGCAAGGUUAACCGAAUAGGGGAGCCGAAGGGAAACCGAGUCUUAACUGGGCGUUAAGUUGCAGGGUAUAGACCCGAAACCCGGUGAUCUAGCCAUGGGCAGGUUGAAGGUUGGGUAACACUAACUG